UUAACGAUUAUACAAUAACUCAGACAACACUAAAAUCAAGAGUUUGAGAUCCUCUGGCAGGCGCUGACCAGCCAAAGCCAGUGGCCCAAAGAGGCGGGCCUGCCAAAGCAACAUAGUAUAGUAAACAAAGGGUAGGAGAUUUACCCCAAAGGGCAAGUUCUCUGUAAUGAUCCUUCCGCAGGUUCACCUACGGAAA
rnacentral:misc_RNA from 1 species